rnacentral:misc_RNA from 1 species
AAAGUCGUAACAAGGUUUCCGUAGGUGAACCUGCGGAAGGAUCAUUAAUGAUUUGGCGAACCGAAAGGUUCUGCGAUCACUUGUAUUUAAAACCCACACUUUUUAAAAUGUAUAUUUUUUAUAUUGUAUGAUAAAUUAAAGAUCACUUUCAACAACGGAUCUCUUGGCUCUC